CAAUUUGCCCCUUUUUCGUUAUUUUAUUUUAUUUUUAAUUUAGCCACAUAGUUUUAUUUUUGUUUCAUUUUAGUCCGACGCAGCGCUGCGUUUUGGGGCUUGGGUUUAUUUACUGUUUUGGUCCCUCCCUUUUUGGCGCGUGUUGCAAUUUAAUCCUUUUUAUUUUGAAUUCUCCCAGUAUUUCAUUUUUAAUUCGAUUUAGUCUGUGUUUUAGCACUUUUAUUAUUUAGUUAAUUAUUUUAAUGUUAUUAUUAUUGUUAUCAUUAUUAUUAUUAUUAUUAUUACUAUUAUUAUAUUAAUAUAAUUACUUC
rnacentral:lncRNA from 1 species